GAGUUCAAGAGUACGUGAAACUGUGUAGUGGUAAACGGAGGCGUGCUCGAAGUCUGAGCAGGAGGUUCAGGUUUUUUGCUGGGUGCUCUGGGCCAACUUGAUCUGUAAAGACAUUUGGCUCUCUGCGGCCCUUCAAAUUGCUGCACUUCUCUUGUUCUUCACACGACGAACUGCUGGCGGUGGACCGAGGGCGUGGGUGAAGUUGGGGACUUGUGCCCCAGCCCCGCGUUCCUGGCUCUGCCGCCGGCAGGUAAAGAGCGGGCUCGUAUAGCGAGUGUCUCACUGGCACGGCCCGCCUCUCUGUCGUGAGUAGGUCGGCGGCGCCUCCGACCCGUCUUGAAACACGGACC
rnacentral:rRNA from 1 species